GACGAACGCUGGCGGCGUGCUUAACACAUGCAAGUCGAGCGGCGCGGCGAACGGGUGAGUAACGCGUGAGUAACUGCCCCCCUCUCUGGGAUACCAGUUGGAAACGGCUGCUAUUACCGGAUAGUGGGGGAUGACUCGGGUCCUAUCAGUUUGUUGGUGGGGUAGUGGCCUACCAAGGCGACGAGGGGUAGCCGGCCUGGGAGGGCGGCCGGCCAAAAUGGGCUGAGAUACGGGCCAAACUCCUACGGGAGGCAGCAGUGGGGAAUAUUGCACAACGGGGCAAAGACUGAGGCAGCAACGUCGCGUGCGGAAUGCCGGCCUUUGGGUUGUAAACCGCUUUCAGCCAUGACGCGGUAGUGACAGAAGAAGCACCGGCUAACUACGUGCCAGCAGCCGCGGUAAUAC
rnacentral:rRNA from 1 species